CCCCCUUUGAUGCUUCCCAGGGCUCGUUUACCAAACUGCUUGGAUAAGGAUUAAUUCUCUGAUGAAUUGGGUUCCGUGACCAUCCCUUCCUCCCAAACUUCCAUAUAAUUGUAGGGUAGGUGGAGGGCAUGUCAGUAUGAAGGGCAAAUGAAGAAAGCAAAGAAUUAUGGUGGCAUAAGCUACUACUUUCAAUGAAAUGAUGACCAGUAGGCUGUUUGACUGGGACCUUUAUAGACUGGCAACUGAGCAGAAAGGCUCUGAGUCAGACCCUGAAGCUACUAUACCUGCUAAGGUGGAAGUACAUAUUCCCCUGAGCCCUCAGUUGACUGGUCUGGUACUGCCUGUAACUCAUGGCUGACCUGGACCAAGAGACCUUCUGUCACUACAGUGCCAUUUAGCAAGAAGGCUGGUGAUAAAAGCAUUGUGGGAAAGACCACUUGAGAAGUGACCCAUCACGGAGCUAAGAAGGCUGAAAUCUGGGCAUGCCAUUCCAACUGUCUGUUCUUCCUGGGUCC
rnacentral:lncRNA from 1 species